GACGAACGCUGGCGGCGUGCUUAACACAUGCAAGUCGAACGAUGAAGCCGGAGCUUGCUCUGGUGGAUUAGUGGCGAACGGGUGAGUAACACGUGAGUAACCUGCCCUUGACUCUGGGAUAAGCGUUGGAAACGACGUCUAAUACCGGAUACGAGCUGGGAUCGCAUGAUCACCAGCUGGAAAGAAUUUCGGUCAAGGAUGGACUCGCGGCCUAUCAGUUAGUUGGUGAGGUAACGGCUCACCAAGACGACGACGGGUAGCCGGCCUGAGAGGGUGACCGGCCACACUGGGACUGAGACACGGCCCAGACUCCUACGGGAGGCAGCAGUGGGGAAUAUUGCACAAUGGGCGCAAGCCUGAUGCAGCAACGCCGCGUGAGGGACGACGGCCUUCGGGUUGUAAACCUCUUUUAGCAGGGAAGAAGCGCAAGUGACGGUACCUGCAGAAAAAGCACCGGCUAACUACGUGCCAGCAGCCGCAGUAACAC
rnacentral:rRNA from 1 species